rnacentral:lncRNA from 1 species
CCCUCAGCUCCCUCCGCAAGCACGCACACACCGGCAGCUCCGAAAAAGUCCUUUAUGUUACACAGUUGGAACACACCGCGCCCCGUCGCCGUCCGCGCCGCCACCGGGAGGUCGAGCAGCCGAGCCCCGCGGGUCACUUGGGCAUGCGCCGCAGCUCGCUCAUAAGCCACAGGGCCACGCUGAGCAGCGCCAGGGAACCCGACUGGUGCGUGGCGGCCAACGGCGUGGGGACGUAGAGCAGCAGCGUGCUGAUGCCCAGGCCCACCUGCACCCAUGCCACUGCCAGUAAGGAUGUCACUGCUAUCCUGGUCCUGUGAGGGAGGGAGAUCUUCCGUGAGAAGAGGUACAGCGCUGUGACAGCUGUGACUGAGGCGGUUCCCUAAAGGAAGAGAGAUUGUAACAGGACGGAGGAACAACCACCCUUCGUGAGAAGUUGAAAGGAAACGGGCCAGAUAUCUUUGCCUGCACCUUCCAUGCAAUAAAACAUUGCUCACAGAACUUAGUUAAUUUUAGAAACAUGUUAAUAGCCACCAUCACAUGCUGCAGAUUCCAUGCCCCACCUGCUUAACAGCCUUAUAUUUUUAAAUAUAAGGAAAGUUAUGGACAGUUCCAUUUUCUGAAUGAAUGCCUUACUUUUCCAAUAGCUUUUCCUUAUUUCUUCUGUUUGAUAGGAAUUAUAUCUGCCCCCUUGCCCCCUGAGACCUCGACAGUUAAAGGUGGAAGCUGUCAGCUGGAAUCCUGACCUCAUCUGCACUACCCAGCUAUAGCUCACCAGCAUCAUCUCAGUGCACAGAUCACCUCACUAUUCCCCUACCAAAACUCUUUAUCUUUCUGUUUAAUCUUAUCAAGCUACAGCUUGGUCCAAAGUAGUGUCAGCAGUGCUGUUUAAUAUCCAAACUGCUCUAACUUGCUGAGAUUUCUUUCACAGGGCACUAACUGGUGUAAAGGAACUUAAACUCUAGAGGAAAUCUCACUGUUGAGUGGUGUCUGCUUCCAAGUUUUAUUUCAGGCAACACCCUCAGACAUUUCCAUUGCAAGGGCUACCCUGAUCUGUAGCAUGUGGAAAAUGAGACACAAAGAAAUGACGUCUGUAACUCGGACAGGAGGAAGUCAUCCUUAAGGAAGACGACCACAUUAAAAAAAAAAAAUAAUAGAAAUGAGUGCUAACCUUCCUCUUUCUUCAGAAACAAAUUGGUAACAAAACUCUCAGGACCUUGGACACCCUGGAUAUCACUCAUGCUGACAGAGCCACAGCCUGAAGAUGACAGCUUGGCUGUAGGAGGCAUCCAGGAGGAAGCUCAGACAUAGCAGGAAGACAGCACUUACCAAGAUCCUGUGAUCAAACUGUACAGUUGUAGGAUUCUCAAAGAUAUUUCUCAGGGUUGGGGAGAAGGCAAGAAGAUCAUCUGGGAUCCAGCGUUCCCCCAUUUUGGGGAAGGAAUUGUACACAAGGCCAGCAUCCAGCCCUGCCACAAAGGCACCUGCAAUUCCAGAGCAGAGAAUGAGACUAACGAACUGGGUACAUCGGGCACCCCAAGCUGCACAGCUCUUAUGUCCAGCCUGACUCAAGAACUCAGCUAAAUCCCAAAUUUCUUUUGCAAACACAUAAAGAGAUCUCACAACAGCAUGCAUGCUGUUCAACACAUCUCCACCUGCUCAAAAGAGGCCAGUAAGAGAAGUUCUCAAAUGCAAGCUCUCUGAAAAGAACAAAGUUUGCACAGAGAACACGAUAGGGUUUUCCACACUCCCCAUCAGACUAGAAAAAAAGGAAUGCAGAGAGAAAUGAGCCACAAGACAGGACAGCAGUACAAGACAGUAUUACCUGAAAGAGCUGUAAGAAAAAUGAGAGCUGUAGUUCCAUGGGCAAAGUGUCUCAGCUGAAGCAGCUGACGUGUCUCAUGCAACUGUAAAACAAAAAAUGAAUGGCAGUAAAAAAAAUUCCAGUGCUGUCUGCAACAGGUAAGAUAAGCUUUCAUUACAUAUAUGGGCCAAUGGUUUGCCAAGUACUUCACAAGUAAUUGAGUCCAACCCUGUGCAGAAACUGAAGUGGCUGCUGGGCAGUUACUUGCACAAAUCAUUGAACCUGGCAGGCAGACUCCUGCCUGAGCUUGCACGAACUCUUGAGACUAAUCACUGUUGACUGGAACAACAAAGUCAAAUGAAACACCUCAUAACUGUUGCAGGACACAACAGUUCGAAAGAAGUUAAAUAAGAAGUUUCUAUAAACUUCUAAUGGUAUUAGAUCACAGUCAGAAAUAGGAUAAAAUAGAAGUAAGCAUUAUCCUCCACACAAUUCCUUUACCCCCAC